UGAGAAAGUGUUAUUCACCGCGCUAAACGUCACGCGCUUUUACAUGCAACGUUAUGGUAAAAUGUUUCAUGUAAAAAAAAAAUUGGUAUAUGUUUGUCAUUAGAUUCAUUUUCUUCUCUCGGACUAUGGAAUAAAACAAUUACUGUCUUUUGUUUCGGUAAAUAUGGGGUUUUAUUGACUUUUGAAAAACUGUUUUUCACUUCGGCCG
rnacentral:lncRNA from 1 species